AUCAUUUUGUUAAAAAUUUCAAGCAAAUACUAACACAGUCUUUCUCGAAGAACGCGCUGUGUCUAUAUUGUGUCUAUAUAGCGAGGUUUACACUACAGAGCGACUAACAUCAACAUAGAACUUGUUUUGUUAUUACGAGAGAAGAAUGGCGUGAUAUUUAUGGCGUCUUAUAUACAAGGUUAUGAUGAGGAAAGGUUCGCAGUCAAAGUUAAUCGAAAUUUCCUCUGUUUGAUUUGCUUCAAUGUCCUUAAAGACCCGGUUCUCUGUCCGAGAAAUCAACAUUGUUUCUGUCGUGCUUGUAUUACGAAACACCUUGAGAAUUCACGAAGAUGCCCUACGUGUGCG